rnacentral:rRNA from 1 species
UACGGGAGGCAGCAGUGGGGAUAUUGGACAAUGGGGGCAACCCUGAUCCAGCCAUGCGGUGAUGAUGAAGGCCUUAGGGUUGUAAAGCUCUUUCACGGAAGAUAAUGACGGUACCCGGAGAAGAAGCCCGGCUAACUCCGUGCCAGCAGCCGCGGUAAUU